CUCGGCCGCCAACCCCGUGUGAAACCCCUUCGACGAGUCGAGUUGUUUGGGAAUGCAGCUCAAAAUGGGUGGUAAAUUUCAUCUAAAGCUAAAUACCGGCCAGAGACCGAUAGCGCACAAGUAGAGUGAUCGA
rnacentral:rRNA from 1 species